rnacentral:rRNA from 1 species
CCUUAACCUGCUAAAUAGUCCUGCGAACUUUGGUUCGUAGCUGACUUCUUAGAGGGACUAUCCGUUUUUAGCGGAAGGAAGUUUGAGGCAAUAACAGGUCUGUGAUGCCCUUAGAUGUUCUGGGCUGCACGCGCGCUACACUGAUGAAAUCAACGAGUACUUCCUUGGCCGAAAGGUCUGGGUAAUCUUUUGAAAUUUCAUCGUGCUGGGGAUAGACCAUUGCAAUUAUUGGUCUUCAACGAGGAAUUCCUAGUAAGCGUGAGUCAUCAGCUCGCGUUGAUUACGUCCCUGCCCUUUGUACACACCGCCCGUCGCUACUACCGAUGAAUGGCUUAGUGAGACCCUCGGAUUGUACUCCAAGUCAGCAAUGACGAAGAGCGCGAGAAGUUGGUCAAACUUGGUCAUUUAGAGGAAGUAAAAGUCG